CGGGUUACCUGCUGUUAAUAAUAUUUUGUUUUUUUAUUUGACCACUCUACAGUAAGAUUGUACACAAUAAUAAUAUCGUGGGUCUGUUUUUGCAGUUGCUUGGUAUGGAUUGUAAGACACAGAAGAAGACGCAUUUAGAUGUUUUUGGAUCUUGAAUCUUGAUGCUCACAGAAAAGCAAGUCAACCAGACAGGCUCUGAAAAUUGAUGAAAUGGAACAAAUUAUUUGGACAAGACACUAGAAAAAUUCUACUCGGUCGGUUUUGAAAUCAUACCUCAAGAAACUUGCGGGAUCUUCGUCUGCACUGCACUAGCAUUUUAGGGUUUGUUGGAGGCGAACGACAUCCACAACAAUGGGAUAGCGGGGUUCGGGCGCCAACCCGACAGUGACAGUGGUGCACUGCGAGAUCCACCACGGACAGACGGGUGGCUUGUACGGGCUCGGCCAGUUCAUCGACAACCGCAUCCAUUCCCACAGCAACCCCACCGCAACGAGAUCUACAACGGCCAUCAGGGUGGCGUCUUCAUCUUGGGCGAAGGCCGCGGCUUGAUCGAGCAUAACAAUAUCUAUGUGACUCAAUGUGGAUUGUGAAGACACAGAAGGGGACGCAUUUGGAUCUUGAAUCAUGAAUGUUGAAUCUUGAUGCUCACAGAAAAGCAAGUCAACCAGACAGGCACUGAAAAUUGAUGAAAUGGAACAAAUUAUUUGGACAAGACACUAGAAAAAUUCUACUCGGUCGGUUUUGUAAUCAUACCUCAAGAUACUUGCGAGAUCUUCGUCUGCUCUGCACUAGCAUUUCAGGGUUUGUUGGAGGCGAACGACAUCCACAACAAUGGGAUAGCGGGGUUCGGGCGCCAACCCGACAGUGACAGUGGUGCACUGCGAGAUCCACCACGGACAGACGGGUGGCUUGUACGGGCUCGGCCAGUUCAUCGACAACCGCAUCCAUUCCCACAGCAACCCCACCGCAACGAGAUCUACAACGGCCAUCAGGGUGGCGUCUUCAUCUUGGGCGAAGGCCGCGGCUUGAUCGAGCAUAACAAUAUCUAUGUGACUCAAUGUGGAUUGUGAAGACACAGAAGGGGACGCAUUUGGAUCUUGAAUCAUGAAUGUUGAAUCUUGAUGCUCACAGAAAAGCAAGUCAACCAGACAGGCUCUGAAAAUUGAUGAAAUGGAACAAAUUAUUUGGACAAGACACUAGAAAAAUUCUACUCGGUCGGUUUUGAAAUCAUACCUCAAGAUACUUGCGAGAUCUUCGUCUGCACUGCACUAGCAUUUCAGUCGUCGCCGCCGCACCACGAUCAAUCGGCGGCAUCCCCAUCUAGUGGUGGUGGAUCUACAUGCAAGGAGCAUGCGCACUACCACUGCAUGUGGAUGCUGGAUGAGUUGGGCAACCUCGGCCGCUCCAGUACCAACUGCCCGACCAGGUGUUGCUAACCAUAUUCGGCUACUUGCUGUCGGUUUCAGGGCAUCAGCUCUGUUGCUUGGUAUGGAUUGUAAGACACAGAAGAAGACGCAUUUAGAUGUUUUUGGAUCUUGAAUCUUGAUGCUCACAGAAAAGCAAGUCAACCAGACAGGCUCUGAAAAUUGAUGAAAUGGAACAAAUUAUUUGGACAAGACACUAGAAAAAUUCUACUCGGUCGGUUUUGAAAUCAUACCUCAAGAAACUUGCGGGAUCUUCGUCUGCACUGCACUAGCAUUUUAGGGUUUGUUGGAGGCGAACGACAUCCACAACAAUGGGAUAGCGGGGUUCGGGCGCCAACCCGACAGUGACAGUGGUGCACUGCGAGAUCCACCACGGACAGACGGGUGGCUUGUACGGGCUCGGCCAGUUCAUCGACAACCGCAUCCAUUCCCACAGCAACCCCACCGCAACGAGAUCUACAACGGCCAUCAGGGUGGCGUCUUCAUCUUGGGCGAAGGCCGCGGCUUGAUCGAGCAUAACAAUAUCUAUGUGACUCAAUGUGGAUUGUGAAGACACAGAAGGGGACGCAUUUGGAUCUUGAAUCAUGAAUGUUGAAUCUUGAUGCUCACAGAAAAGGAAGUCAACCAGACAGGCUCUGGAAAUUGAUGAAAUGGAACAAAUUAUUUGGACAAGACACUAGAAAAAUUCUACUCGGUCGGUUUUGAAAUCAUACCUCAAGAUACUUGCGAGAUCUUCGUCUGCACUGCACUAGCAUUUCAGUCGUCGCCGCCGCACCACGAUCACUCGGCGGCAUCCACAUCUAGUGGUGGUGGAUCUACAUGCAAGGAGCAUGCGCACUACCACUGGAUGUGGAUGCUGGAUGAGUUGGGCAACCUCGGCCGCUCCAGUACCAACUGCCCGACCAGGUGUUGCUAACCAUAUUCGGCUACUUGCUGUCGGUUUCAGGGCAUCAGCUCUGUUGGGGCAAACUGAGCCGCUUCGGCGAGCGGGCCAAUAAUUUCAACAUUGUUUCAAUUCCAAGUUGAUUGUUUUGAAUUAAUAUAGUCUACUGUUACAGAGAGACUAUGCCUUUUGAAAAUAUAAACGGUUACCUGAUAAGUACCUUAAUGUGUGUUAUGAAAUAUGAUUGAUAUCCAACUAUUUAAUAAAUUUCUCAAUUUGAAAGAUUCAAAUAAUGAUAUUAUUUCGAUUAUUUACUUGCUCACCAAGUGCAGUUUUCUCGGUGAAAGCUUAAACCGAAUUGGAUCAGCUGGUGUGUUUUAAUAUCAAUUAAACUUAACAUGGAUUUAAUUCAUAUUAAGCCGACAUUUGGUUCAAACUGGUACUGUGAAAACGGCUUUUAAAUCGUUAGAAUUAUUCAAGUAAUUAGUAUGGUGAUUAUUAUCAUAGAAAAAAGAUAUCAUAAGAAGAUAACCCUAUGGUAUAGAUUGUUUAUGUUUCAUUGUGCGUUUUAAAACAGUAAAGAAAAAAGUAUCUCAGGUUUGGCUGAAAUUUGCACCAUAGAUGAAGCUUUAUCUGAGAAAUGUCUGAGCCAAAUUUGGCACCCCCAGCUACUAUACAGGGUGAGUUAUGCAGCUUCAAACGUAAAAUUUGCAAAUUUUCAAACGGUGAGGAAUUUUGCAAAUCGGAUUCCAGAUUCAUGUUCCUCUCAUCAAAGAGCAUAAGGUCACGAAGUUAGAGCGAUUUUGAUUUUUCACAAAAAAAUUAGAUAAACCAUGGAUUUUAUGAAAAAUGCGAAUGUGCCAGAUUCGGUUGAUAUUCGAACUAUGGAAAGAGGUUGACUCAAUAGUGAUAGAUAAAUGUCUUUUAUUUUCAUUUUAUAACAUUACAAAUGAUGUGGGCGAAGUUGAGGCAAUAAGAGCCCCCCUCUUCCACUUGACCCACAAGUAUGGGUCUGUUUGUGUAAAUGGCAGAAGAUAAGAAAAGAUUCAUUGAACAAUUGACAAGUUUACUUGAUAGAAUACUUGACAAUUAUAUAGUCUAAAAUAAGAACUUAGUCAAAAAUAACAGAUUAAACUAGCUGACGUACAAACAACUCUAAAGUAAUUUUUCACUAAGUUACCAAGAGGGAUUAUUAACUAUGGAAUGAGAAAGAAAUCAAUAAAAAUGCUUACUUUCUUAAUCAGAUUUAUUAUAGUUUUUAGUAUAAAAGAUUUUUUUUCAAAGAGCAAAGAAUAAAGAGUUAACCUGAUUUCAAAAACUCAGUCCAAGUAAACUGAAGAUCAGUAGUAAAUUAUACAAGAAAAUUUACAAUAAUCAAAAAUAUAAUAGCUGUAAAUUCUGCUCAAAAUAAGAUCUAGUUGCACGAAAUUUGUUUAAUAACUGAUUAAAUUAUUAGAUUUUUCUGUAUUAGCUGUUAUGCUACUAUAGCGGUGACUGAGGACUCUAUAGAUUUGUUUCUUCAAGUAUUUCAGAAGAAGUUGCUGUUGUGGGCUGUACAGCUCGCUUUCCUGAUAGAUUUUCCUUUGAGAAUCUGAUCUGUUUCAUUUUCAUGAUGGCCUAUGGGCUAUGUGAGAUAAUGGGUUGAUGUUCCAGUAAUUUAACCAUAACUAUUGAACGGUUCAUCAGAGCCUUAUUUUGUAGCAAACGUUGUUGUAUAAUAUAACAUUUUUCUCAUCAUCAUAUACCGUAGUUGAAAAUUUUGUCACUGCAAUUAAUAAAAUCAAACUGAGAGAUUUAAUGCUUCAAAAAAAAAGCAGGACCGCAUCUCUAGUAGAAUUUUCCCUAGUUUUUAUAUCUCUAACUUUUGUUAGCUUCAUAGUAGCUUUGUACGCAUGAGGACCUUUUUUGUAUAAUAUCAAAUUGACUGUUGAGUAACAAGUUCUAAUUACUAACUAAAGUCAAGAGUAAAGAGCUAUUUUAUAGCUUCAAAGAAAAAUUUGAAUCAUAUUCUCAAUGUAGCCUAUUCCUUAGCAAUGUUACCUCAAUAACUUACUUUUGAAAGACUUCUUGUUGAAUAUUUUAGAAAUAUUUCAAGCCAGAACAAGUGAAUAACUUUUCUCCAUUUAUUUCGAUUUUCAAUAUAAUAAUUAUAUACCGUAGUUAGUAGGUAGCUUUUGAAUUUGCCGGUUGAUAACCUAGUUUGAAUUUGCCGGUGAGCCAUCUUGAUAAUGAUGUUUCAAAACCUUUUGAAGAAUGAAGAGUGAAUCUUUUUAUGAAUCAUUCUUUCAAACGUAAUCAAGACAUCAAUCUAUAGUUAUAAAAUUCCUUAUCUAUAAAAAAUCAUUUGAGAACCAUUGAAUGUCGAUAUUUUCUCCAAAUGCAUCAAUCAGAAGUACUUAUAUAUAUUCCCAACUUUUCAAUGAAUAAUGGUAUAAAUCAACUAGAGAAUAUAUUUGAAACUUUUAAAAUCAUCAUUUGAAUAUCAUAAUUCUAUUUUGAUGAUAGAUAUACUUAAUUAUUUUCUAUUAUUUUUUUGCGUUGUGUAGUGGUACGGCUGGCUACCUGCUGUUCAAGCUAAUCAGCUGUUUGAUGCUCAUUAUUUUUUCAACUAUGAAUUGCGUUAAUAGUGCUUCCAAUAAACAGGAUAAUUUGAUACAUCAGAGAAAUAAUUUAAAUAUUCUAUUUGAACGUAUCAAUUGUUAAUACUUAAUUAUUUUUUCAUUAUUAUUUUGCGGUGUGUAGUGGUACAGCUGGUUACCAAAAUCCGUCUCCAUCGAGUUGCUUGGUAUGGAUUGUAAGACACAGAAGAAGACGCAUUUAGAUGUUUUUGGAUCUUGAAUCUUGAUGCUCACAGAAAAGCAAGUCAACCAGACAGGCUCUGAAAAUUGAUGAAAUGGAACAAAUUAUUUGGACAAGACACUAGAAAAAUUCUACUCGGUCGGUUUUGAAAUCAUACCU